ACAGGGGAGGUGGCGGUGGUGGCCCUCGCCUGUGGCCCCCGUGCAACUUGCACUCGAACUCGUCGCCAUGGAGGAGCUCCAGGAGCCCCUGAGAGGACAGCUCCGGCUCUGCUUCACGCCAGCUGCCCGGACUAGCCUCUUACUGCUCAGGCUCAACGACGCUGCGCUGCGGGCGCUGCAAGAGUGUCAGCGGCAACAGGUACGGCCGGUGAUUGCUUUCCAAGGCCACCGAGGGGUAAGUGCGAGCUCAGGGUGUGUGAGCGAGGUGAGGGCGAGGGAGCAUAAACGUGGGCUGGAGGUGGAAGAUGCGGUCGGGGCCGGAGGCUGCGAAUGGUCACGGUCUGAGGUAGUUCCGAGAAAUGAACUCCAAGUGGGGCGAGGAGGCUGCUGGGGUUGUCCCAGGGGGCUGUGGUUUGAGGGGACUGUGCUGUUUCAGCCUCCUGGGGAACUCAGGCCCAGCUGCACCUGGUGUGCUAACGAGCCCUGUGGGACGCGUCUUAGUCUUACUUAGACUGGCUCCCGGACGAGUGGCGGCGGUAGGAGGGGGAGGGGCUGACUUCAUGGGGCUUACC
rnacentral:sRNA from 1 species